UAGGGAAUCUUCGGCAAUGGGGGGAACCCUGACCGAGCAACGCCGCGUGAGUGAAGAAGGUUUUCGGAUCGUAAAGCUCUGUUGUUAAGGAAGAACGAGUGUUAGAAUGGAAAGUUCAUGCUGUGACGGUACUUAACCAGAAAGGGACGGCUAACUACGUGCCAGCAGCCGCGGUAAUACGUAGGUCCCGAGCGUUGUCCGGAUUUAUUGGGCGUAAAGCGAGCGCAGGCGGUUAGAAAAGUCUGAAGUGAAAGGCAGUGGCUCAACCAUUGUAGGCUUUGGAAACUGUUUAACUUGAGUGCAGAAGGGGAGAGUGGAAUUCCAUGUGUAGCGGUGAAAUGCGUAGAUAUAUGGAGGAACACCGGUGGCGAAAGCGGCUCUCUGGUCUGUAACUGACGCUGAGGCUCGAAAGCGUGGGGAGCGAACAGG
rnacentral:rRNA from 1 species